UACGUAGGGGGCAAGCGUUAUCCGGAUUUAUUGGGUUUAAAGGGAGCGCAGGCCGAUGGUUAAGCGUGACGUGAAAUGUAGCCGCUCAACGGCUGAACUGCGUCGCGUACUGGCUAUCUUGAGUGAGUUCGAUGUUGGCGGAAUUCGUGGUGUAGCGGUGAAAUGCUUAGAUAUCACGAAGAACUCCGAUUGCGAAGGCAGCCAACAAGGCCUUUACUGACGCUAAAGCUCGAAGGUGCGGGUAUCGAAC
rnacentral:rRNA from 1 species